CUUCAGCCUCUGAUUGGUCACAGAAUCAUUUCCAUCAACUUAAGAACAUGAAAGCUUUUAUCUCAUUUGAAAACGUGAGAGCGACAGGAGGCAGCCAAAUGCUUAGGCGGAUGGGGAAGGGUCCCCAGUGAAACUCCACCUCCAAGCCAAGGACAGUUUAAAGCCUGAAAGGCCAAGCUACAAGUUAAAUCCUUAGACUGGAUUGAGAAUCUGUUUCUCCAUUUGACAUGUUUUCUCUGAUUAGUCCCCAGCCUUCCCCUAUUUCUCAUAUACCUACCCUUUCCUAAUUGACUUUCUACACUGCUGUGCCCACGUUUUAAGAGUUGUCUUCACUGUAACCUUUUUGGCGUACUCAAAAAUAAAUCAACACACACUCUCCAUUCUGAGUCCAAAGGCCCCCACCCAGCAACAAAGAGGGCAUUCCUGCCUUCCGGUAGGCAGACCAACCCCACAUGCCUCUCUGCUGAAAGCUGUUUCAUUGCUCAAUAAAGUUAUUCUCUGUCCUCUUCACACUUCAAUGUCCAUCAUAUCCUCA
rnacentral:lncRNA from 1 species